GAUGAAGAACGCAGCGAAAUGCGAUAAGUAAUGUGAAUUGCAGAAUUCAGUGAAUCAUCGAAUCUUUGAACGCACCUUGCACCCUUUGGCAUUCCGAAGGGUAUGCUCGUUUGAGUGUCAUUGUACUCUCACACUUCUGAUCCUUUGGAUUGGGAGCGGUGGACUUGGGUGUUGCUGCUUUACUGUGGCUCACCUCAAAUGCAUUCUUGCAACUCUUGGUUGGACAUAGUACGGCGUGAUAAGUAUCUUCGCCGGCACCUCGCAAGAGGGUGGCUGAUCAGGAGCUCUGUGCUUUCCAACUGUCUUCAGACAACAACUGACAACUUGACCUCAAAUCGAGUAGGACCACCCGCUGAACUUAAGCAUAUCAAUAAGCGGAAGA
rnacentral:misc_RNA from 1 species